rnacentral:lncRNA from 1 species
AUGCCAUGCUUCAGUACAUCUCCGUCUGUCUGUUCUGCCUCUACCUCCUCCUUCUUAUCUGCCUCUACCUCCUCCUCCUCCUCAGGCUGUUCUGUCUCUACCGCCUCCUCCUCCCACGGCUGUUCUGUCUCUUCCUCAUUCACCUCCGUCUGUUCUGUCUCUUCCUUAUUCACCUCCGUCUGUUCUGUCUCUACGGCCUCCUCCUCCGUCUGUUCUGUCUCUAUCACCUCCUCCUCCGUCUGUUCUGUCUCUUCCUUAUUCACCUCCGUCUGUUCUGUCUCUAUCGCCUCCUCCUCCGUCUGUUCUGUCUCUAUCGCCUCCUCCUCCGUCUGUUCUGUCUCUACCGCCUCCUCCUCCGUCUGUUCUGUCUUUACCUCAUCCUCCUCUGUCUGUUCUGCCUUUAGCACUUCCUCCUCUGUUUGUUCUAUCUCUACCUCCUUAUCCUCCUCUGUUUGUUCUGUGCACUUUUCAGGUUCAGUGUUUAGAAUCACAUUCUGGGUUGAUUCAGUACCUUCCUUGUCCUCCUCUAGCGCCUCCUCCUCCCUCUGUUCUGUCUCUAGCGCCUCCUCCUCCCUCUGUUCUGUCUCUAGAGCCUCCUCCUCCGUCUGUUCUGUCUUUAGCGCCUCCUCCUCCGUCUGUUCUGUCUCUACUGCCUCCUCCUCCCUCUGUUCUGUCUCUUGGGCCUCCUCCUCCCUCUGUUCUGUCUCUAGCGCCUCCUCCUCCCUCUGUUCUGUCUCUAGCGCCUCCUCCUCCGUCUGUUCUGUCUUUAGUGCCUCCUCCUCCGUCUGUUCUGUCUCUACUGCCUUCUCCUCCGUCUGUUCUGUCUCUUCGGCCUCCUCCUCCGUCUGUUCUGUCUCUAGCACCUCCUCCUCCGUCUGUUCUGUCUCUAGCACCUCCUCCUCCGUCUGUUCUGUCUCUACGGCCUGCUCCUCCGUUUGUUCUGUCUCUACGGCCUGCUCCUCCGUCUGUUCUGUCUCUACGGCCUGCUCCUCCGUCUGUUCUGUCUCUACGGCCUGCUCCUCCAUUUGUUCUGUCUCUACCUCCUCAAUCUGUUCUGUCUCUACCUCCUCAAUCUGUUCUGUCUCUACCUCCUCCAUCUGUUCUGUCUCUACCUCCUCCAUCUGUUCUGUCUCUACCUCCUCCAUCUGUUCUGUCUCUACCUCCUCCAUCUGUUCUGUCUCUACCUCAUCCUCCUCUGUCUGUUCUGUCUUUAGCACCUCCUCCUCGGUUUGUUCUAUCUCUACCUCCUUAUCCUCCUCUGUUUGUUCUGUGCACUUUUCAGGUUCAGUGUUUAGAAUCACAUUCUGGGUUGAUUCAGUACCUUCCUUGUCCUCCUGUGAUAAUUGUUGCUCCAAAUGA